rnacentral:misc_RNA from 1 species
CCGUAACAACUGUAGGAUUCCCCAAAGUGUAAAAACAUCUCUAGUCUGAAACGCCUUCUCGUAUGUUUCAAGGUAAGCUCUGCCGCUCACUAUCACCAAUCUGAAAUUGGCUGUUGCUUUAGCUCUUUCUACCAUGUCUCUGGUGAUGCCCGUAUGGGCCCAUGGACGUAAAUCUUCGUGGAUCCACCGGAAGUAUUCUGGACAGCUCGGAGGUAAUGGACGGUCAGGAUCUUGUGAAAACGUUGUGGGGUAGUCUCUAGGGCAUGUUCGUGUGAGGUUGAGUGCGUUGCAGUUUAGUGGAAUUUCGAUAUUAUUUUGCGGCUUGGUUGUUUUUGCAGUGACUAUUGACUUCUGAGCCGAGCUGCCAGUAAUGUCACUGGACUGGAGGAGGCGCGUGAAGACAAACGCGCCGAGCAUCAGGAAGAGAAAGAAGACGAAGGCAGUGGAGGAUUGCACGACUGCCUGCAUAAAAAGCCGCCUGAUCAUCUCGGUGAAAUGGCCAAAAACCCCAGAUCCGUUCAACAAAAUCUAUGGUGCAUGUUCCUCUCUAUCUUCUCUGCGUUCUCCUUGUACCUCUACGAUAAUUUGCGACAGACUCGGGGGAUUUCUUCAAAUGGAUCUUCCUCCAGUUUAAAAAUGGAGAACUAGAUGAUUUCAUUGAAGGCCGUCGAGCUUUGAGUUUCUCAUUGGUGAUUUCGUAUUUACUUGGAAAAAGGGGAAUUUUUUAAACUGCAAAUUCAUGGCAAGCCAAGGUCCAACUGAGCAUCAAGAGACAAACGAAUGUGACAUGUGGGACAAUGUUAGAAGGUAACAUUAAUAUUUACAACUCAUCAAAAUUAGCUCUGCUUGAGCAGCAGAAAUGUGAACAGAGGAAAGUGGAAGAGCUUGAGAAUAGAAACAUUGAACCACAAAACUUGGAGGCAUGUUUUGCUCGGUAGAAAAUGGGCCAAAUGGCAGAUUUAGGUAGGUAACUAGGUACUUAGGCAACCUGCCUUGCCUAACCAUCCGUGUUCAGGACUCAGGAGGGUCCAG